rnacentral:rRNA from 1 species
UUUUGAAACUGAUUACCUAGAAUAUGGGAGAGGUAGAUGGAAUUUCUGGUGUAGGGGUAAAAUCCGUAGAGAUCAGAAGGAAUACCGAUUGCGAAGGCGAUCUACUGGAACAUUAUUGACGCUGAGACGCGAAAGCGUGGGGAGCAAACAGGAUUAGAUACCCUGGUAGUCCACGCCCUAAACGAUGCACACUAGUUGUUGUGAGGCUCGACCUUGCAGUAAUGCAGUUAACACAUUAAGUGUGCCGCCUGGGGAGUACGGUCGCAAGAUUAAAACUCAAAGGAAUAGACGGGGACCCGCACAAGCGGUGGAGCAUGUGGUUUAAUUCGACGAUACACGAAGAACCUUACCUGGACUUGACAUAGUAAGAACUUUCUAGAGAUAGAUUGGUGUCUGCUUGCAGAAACUUAUAUACAGGUGCUGCACGGCUGUCGUCAGCUCGUGUCGUGAGAUGUUGGGUUAAGUCCCGCAACGAGCGCAACCCUCGUCAUUAGUUGCUAACAGUUCGGCUGAGAACUCUAAUGAGACUGCCUACGUAAGUAGGAGGAAGGUGAGGACGACGUCAAGUCAUCAUGGCCCUUACGUCCAGGGCUACACACGUGCUACAAUGGGGUAUACAAAGAGCAGCAAUACGGUGACGUGGAGCAAAUCUCAAAAAUAUCUCCCAGUUCGGAUUGUAGUCUGCAACUCGACUACAUGAAGUUGGAAUCGCUAGUAAUCGUAGAUCAGCUAUGCUACGGUGAAUACGUUCCCGGGUCUUGUACUCACCGCCCGUCACACCAUGGGAGUUGAACUCAUUCGAAGCGGGGAUGCUAAAGUAGCUACCUUCCACAGUGGAUUCAGCGACUGGGGUGAAGUCGUAACAAGGUAACCGUAGGAGAACCUGCGGUUG